rnacentral:rRNA from 1 species
AGUGAACGCUGGCGGCAGGCCUAACACAUGCAAGUCGAACGGCAGCACAGUAAGAGCUUGCUCUUACGGGUGGCGAGUGGCGGACGGGUGAGGAAUACAUCGGACUCUACUUUUUCGGGGGGGAUAACGUAGGGAAACUUACGCUAAUACCGCAUACGACCUACGGGUGAAAGCAGGGGAUCUUCGGACCUUGCGCGAUUGAAUGAGCCGAUGUCGGAUUAGCUAGUUGGGGGGGGAAAGGCCCACCAAGGCGACGAUCCGCAGCUGGUCUGAGAGGAUGAUCAGCAACACUGGAACUGAGACACGGUCCAGACUCCUACGGGAGGCAGCAGUGGGGAAUAUUGGACAAUGGGCGAAAGCCUGAUCCAGCCAUACCGCGUGGGUGAAGAAGGUCUUCGGGUUGUAAAGCCCUUUUGUUGGGAAAGAAGAGCAGCAGGUUAAUACCCCGCUGUUCUGACGGUACCCAAAGAAUAAGCACCGGCUAACUUCGUG